rnacentral:rRNA from 1 species
AUAUGAUUUCUAGUUUUCGGUUGGGGUGACCGCGGAGCAMAACAAAACCUCCACGAUGAAAGAGCCAACCCUCUAAUCAAAGAGCAACAACUCUAAGAAUCAAUAAAUUGACAUUAUUUGAUCCAAUUAUUUUGAUCAACGAACCAAGUUACCCUGGGGAUAACAGCGCAAUCCACUUCAAGAGCCCCUAUCGACAAGUGGGUUUACGACCUCGAUGUUGGAUCAGGGUAUCCCAGUGGUGCAGCCGCUACUAAAGGUUCGUUUGUUCAACGAUUAAWACCCUACGUGAUCUGAGUUCAGAC